CUUAGCUCAGCUGGGAGAGCAUCUGCCUUACAAGCAGAGGGUCAUAGGUUCGAGCCCUAUAG
rnacentral:tRNA from 1 species